GUGGAAGAAUCUGAUACUGGCAACUUGAGCACGUGUCUUUAAAGAUCCUGACACUUGUUUCAGCAUUCUCAGUGCCAUUCAAACUCGCAGUGUCAGAUUUCUUAAGUGGGCUAUGGCAUAUAGAGCAAAAUGUUUCCGGAGGAUGAGAUUCGGUAGGCUUCAAAUUGUAUUUCUUUCGCCGCUGCUGAGAAGCCGAUUGACCAUUAGAGUCAUCAACUUCUAAAAUCCUAUUGAAAGACAAAGGUUCGAGCUUCCCCGCUGUUCUUAAAAUUGUGCUCUCUCGUGAAGAAUUUUCCUCCUGGAAAACACAUUAAAUUUUAGACUCUGAUCAGAAAUUUACCUACAAUAAAUUAACCAUGACUGUGAUUCCCACCUGCAAUAAUUUUACAAAUGAGGAUACUAAGCCAUUGAUGCGACCACGAGGUAGCUGAAAUGUUUCUACCUUCUUCAAACUGCCCUCACAAAAUAAAGUAAGUCCUAUCAUGAAGUAAUCAUUACAGCAUCAUAAUAAAAAGAAAUGAAAAAUGACACAAAAUCUAACUAAACAGCCUCCCCAAGGAAGAGGAAAGAUCUGUAGCAUGUUUGUGCAACAAACUUGUCGAGACUGCAAAGCAGACUCAGCUCUUAAGAGAUACAAUCACGUAGCGGAAGAACCACUGGCAUCUCCCACCUAGCAUCAACAAAAGAAUAUUUCGUUUUUAUACUGUGAUAGCUUUAGACAUAUAUGUAAUUAAGCUUUCUGGCGUUAGCUACUGCAUUUUGACCAAGUUUUUCUCCUGACAACAUCCAUUGAACCGAAUAGUAAUACAAGAACACAAAUUGAAGGCGAUUAUCCAGUCUAGCUAACAGAAAUGAUCAUUUUGCCAAAAAAAUUUCUUUUCUUGCUUUAGCUCUUGUUUGACCCCCAUUUUUCCAAAAAUUCAUUUUUUCAAAACUCAUUUUCAACCACACAUCCUCCAAUAAAAUAAUUCUAUACGUAAAUUGAAUUUAUUUAUUUUUACUUUCUAACCAUAGAUUCUCUAAAAACUCACUAUUCAAAAAUACAUUUUUUCUUCAAAAUGGGGCUCAAACAAGGGCUUAUUGUCAUUUAUUCUUUUAUGUACAUCAUUAUGUAUCUGUACAUUUAUUUAAUCAUUGUUUGGGAAGUUAGGUGUAAGGAGGAGGAAUAAACCUUUACAGUGGCUUCGAGGACAUGGCAAGCUAUCCGUGAUGUGCAUGUUCCUAGCACGGGCUUGGACCGCUUGGUGUAUCCAUUAUCAACAGCAAUCUGCACUACGUGGACAGCAUAAUCUAAAAGUACAUGUCUUUUCCCUAAUCUAAUGCUUAAUUAAGCAGGAAAAAAUACAAAAUCAAACCUUCUGCAAAGAUAACAUGCGCAGAUGCUCCAGAAGGUCUUCUUUUCCAGUGACGUCGCUAACAGCAUUUAUUAAUUCCAUCAAUCUUAGCCUCCUAGCACCAGUAUCAGAUGAAUAAAUACUUUCAGUUGGAAGAAUAUGGAAGUGUUUUACUGGUGGAGCUAAAUUAGACACAAUCAGUUUCAUCUCAUCAAUGGCUCUAUCAAAAUCAUGAGAAGGGACUGUAAAAAUUGCUCUCUCAUCAAUAUAAGCAACACCAACCCCAAAUACUGGUAACGAUUCAUCUCUACUUGCAUCAAAGUUCUUCUGUGCUUUGUGUUGCAUCUCAUGCACAAAUUGAAGAGCCACCCUGAAGAUGGUCAAAGAAGCUCAGGACAGCUUGAACACUAUAUAUAUAGCUGCAAACGUCACACUUUUUCAGCACGUUUGGUUAAGCUUAAAACAGGUACGUUACACUUACCUCUUUUGCUUACUGCCUAAAAAAGUAAGAUUCUGUACUGAAAAUCCAGAAUAAAUAAAUAAAUAAUAAUAACUUGUAAAAAACUUCCAAAGUGAAGCAAAAAGAAUUAUCCAAAAGUAACUUAUAAUUUCCCCAGACAUGCUAUUCAGAAUAACACCAAUCCAUUACUUAAACAAAUUCACGGGAAACUAAUUUUGACAGCAAAGAUCUGAUUAUUUACCUCGACGGUCUGAAAACUAAGAA
rnacentral:sRNA from 1 species